CUGGAACCUUGGUGAGAGCCGAGGGUGCCUUCGGGAGCCAGAACACAGGUGCUGCAUUGGCUGUCGUCAGCUCGUGUCGUGAGAUGUUGGGUUAAGUCCCGCAACGAGCGCAACCCUUGUCACUAGUUGCCAUCAUUUGGUUGGGCACUCUAGUGAGACUGCCGGUGACAACCGAGAGGUGGGGAUGACGUCAAGUCCUCAUGGCCCUUAUGGGUAGGGCUUCACACGUCAUACAAUGGUCGGUACAGAGGGUUGCCAAGCCGCGAGGUGGAGCCAAUCCCUUAAAGCCGAUCGUAGUCCGGAUCGUAGUCUGCAACUCGACUACGUGAAGUCGGAAUCGCUAGUAAUCGCAGAUCAGCAUGCUGCGGUGAAUACGUUCCCGGGCCUU
rnacentral:rRNA from 1 species